rnacentral:rRNA from 1 species
AUUGAACGCUGGCGGCAGGCCUAACACAUGCAAGUCGAACGGUAACAGGAAACAGCUUGCUGUUUCGCUGACGAGUGGCGGACGGGUGAGUAAUGUCUGGGAAACUGCCUGAUGGAGGGGGAUAACUACUGGAAACGGUAGCUAAUACCGCAUAACGUCGCAAGACUAAAGAGGGGGACCCUCGGGCCUCUUGCCAUCGUAUGUGCCCAGAUGGGAUUAGCUUGUUGGUGGGGUAACGGUUCACCAAGGCGACGAUCCCUAGCUGGUGUGAGAGGAUGACCGGCCACACGGGAGCUGGACCACGGUCCAGAGUCCUACGGGAGGCAGCAGUGGGGAAUAUUGGGCAAUGGGCGGAAGCCUGAUGCAGCCAGGCCGCGUGUAUGAAGAAGGCCUUCGGGUUGUAAAGUACGUUCAGCGGGGAGGAAGGGAGUAAAGUUAAUACCUUUGCUCAUUGACGUUACCCGCAGAAGAAGCACCGGCUAACUCCGUG